GACGAACGCUGGCGGCGUGCUUAACACAUGCAAGUCGAACGGUGAAGCGCCUUCCUUUUUGGUGGGUGUGGAUGAGUGGCGAACGGGUGAGUAACACGUGAGUAACCUGCCCCCUUCUUCUGGAUAACCGCAUGAAAGUGUGGCUAAUACGGGAUAUUCUGGGUCUGUCGCAUGAUGGGUCUGGGAAAGAUAUUGUUUCGGUGGGGGAUGGGCUGGCGGCCUAUCAGCUUGUUGGUGGGGUGAUGGCCUACCAAGGCGGUGACGGGUAGCCGGCCUGAGAGGGUGGACGGUCACACUGGGACUGAGACACGGCCCAGACUCCUACGGGAGGCAGCAGUGGGGAAUAUUGCACAAUGGGCGCAAGCCUGAUGCAGCGACGCCGCGUGAGGGAUGGAGGCCUUCGGGUUGUGAACCUCUUUCGCCAGUGGAGCAGGCCUGCCUCGUUUGUGGGUGGGUUGACGGUAGCUGGAUAAGAAGCGCCGGCUAACUACGUG
rnacentral:rRNA from 1 species